AAGAUAGAGGUUGCGGAAUUCAAGAGUAGUUGAAAACAAAAGAUUUGUGUGUCGUUUUCAAUGAAAGGGGAAACUGCCGAAGGAUAUAUGUAAACACAAUUAUAUAUAUCUUGGGACGGUGUAUAAGAUACAGCGGACUGUCACAACAAUGUGGAGAGCUAUCGU
rnacentral:ncRNA from 1 species